CCUACGGGUGGCUGCAGUGAGGAAUAUUGGUCAAUGGGCGGGAGCCUGAACCAGCCAAGCCGCGUGAAGGAAGAAGGCGCCAAGCGUCGUAAACUUCUUUUAUAUGGGAAUAAAAUGUUCCACGUGUGGGAUUUUGUAUGUACCAUAUGAAUAAGGAUCGGCUAACUCCGUGCCAGCAGCCGCGGUAAUACGGAGGAUCCGAGCGUUAUCCGGAUUUAUUGGGUGUAAAGGGAGCGUAGGUGGAUUGUUAAGUCAGUUGUGAAAGUUUGCGGCUCAACCGUAAAAUUGCAGUUGAAACUGGCAGUCUUGAGUACAGUAGAGGUGGGCGGAAUUCGUGGUGUAGCGGUGAAAUGCUUAGAUAUCACGAAGAACUCCGAUUGCGAAGGCAGCUCACUGGACUGCAACUGACACUGAGGCUCGAAAGUGUGGGUAUCAAACAGGAUUAGAUACCCUAGUAGUC
rnacentral:rRNA from 1 species